GACGAACGCUGGCGGCGUGCUUAACACAUGCAAGUCGAGCGGUAAGGCCCUUCGGGGUACACGAGCGGCGAACGGGUGAGUAACACGUGGGUGAUCUGCCCUGCACUUCGGGAUAAGCCUGGGAAACUGGGUCUAAUACCGGAUAUGACCUUCGGCUGCAUGGUUGUUGGUGGAAAGGUUUACUGGUGCAGGAUGGGCCCGCGGCCUAUCAGCUUGUUGGUGGGGUAAUGGCCUACCAAGGCGACGACGGGUAGCCGACCUGAGAGGGUGACCGGCCACACUGGGACUGAGACACGGCCCAGACUCCUACGGGAGGCAGCAGUGGGGAAUAUUGCACAAUGGGCGAAAGCCUGAUGCAGCGACGCCGCGUGAGGGAUGACGGCCUUCGGGUUGUAAACCUCUUUCAGCAGGGACGAAGUGAAAGUGACGGUACCUGCAGAAGAAGCACCGGCCAACUACGUGCCAGCAGCCGCAGUAAUAC
rnacentral:rRNA from 1 species